UGCAUUCUAGAUUUUUCUUAUGUGGGUUGCCUUCAGUUAGUCAUGGUUGUGAUCACUGCUGAAAUGUUCCUUUGUUCAUCUUCACUGAGUGAUGUAAUGCAAAAUGGGCCCCUUUUGUAGGCACAGCUGGAAACGUGUCAAGCUUCUACCUGAGUGAGAAGAGUGUCUGCUUGUUCAGUUCAAUCACUGAAACAAAACAGUUUUCAGAUAUCCAGCACCUGAAGCAUAACAGACACCUGGAGAACCCUAAAGCAAUCUAAUAUCAACAGUAUAUGUGUUGGGGCGCUUGGGUUGUCUUCUUUGCCUCUGGUGCGGCUUGUCCACCCAUUCAUUUAUUUCUUCACACUCCUUCCACUUUUCACUCCCUAAGAGAUGGAAACCCCUAAUCAACCAAGAAGCAUCGACUUCCGCCUGACUACCUGCAGGGAUACGCAGUGCCACAGCCAUGGUACCUGCGUGCCUCCUCAAGGUGGUGGUACCAGUCUGGUGUGUGACUGUGACCUGGGCUACCAGGGUGAGUUCUGUGAUAGCACAGUCAAUGGAGCAUUGAGUGUGCCGCUGUGCAUCAGUGUGCUGGCUGUCAUCAUUGGACUGCUGAUUCUCUCUUUCAUCAUCGCUAAGUUGCGACAGAGACAAAAGAAAACUUACAGGAGACGUCUGGCAACACAAUGUAGCUACAGAAUCGCUGUUUAAUGUGGACAUUAAACUAUAUCUAAGGUCUGCAGUGGUGAUAUGAACAUGUGAUACGACUGCCGCAGUUUGAGCGUGAAUCUUGGAUGCAAUCUCCUUUUCUACGCUUGACAGCUGAUGAGUGAAUUCUAAUGUUUGGCUUUUUCUGCAGCAUCUCAAAGACUAAAUUCCUGAACUAGCAAGCUGAAACACCAUGACUGAUCAGUCAGUUUAUUCCUUCCAGCUAGAGGCAACGCCCUGUUUGCACCUCCUGUUGAUACUGCUGAACUCGGUCAUAGUGCUUGAAGAGGAAAACUGGAGUUCUGUUUUUCAUAUAUCCUCUAAUAAUGAAGAAAAAAGAAAAAAAAAUACAGCAUCCCCAUAGAAAUCAUUCAUCAAAGGCAGAUUUUCUGUAUGUAUCCUGCCAAGUCUGUAGUUAAUUUUGAUUAACUUUGCAAGCCUUGUAGAUACAGUAUGGACCUUUAGCAGAUACAUUUAUGCAGUUUACAACAUGAUUAUUAGCAUACAAGUCACUGCCCAUAUUUGCACAACUGUACCCAUCACUAUGUGCAUUGGACUGUAGGCCAUGUUGACUUUUCUCCGCAGCAAAUACUUAUACUAAUGAUAACAUAGUUUAUCUUUUAAAUAUGCGAUGACACAAGUUGUACUCUGCCUUUUUACUUAAGUGAAUGUGUACUUUCUGUUGUGCGUUCUUUUUUCACAGUUCAGCUACUCUACAGGGAGCUAAAAUGUUUCAUCUGAUUCUGUAAUUUUUUAAAAAUUUUAUUUAUAAAACAAAUUCCUUAACCCAGUCUUGUCAGAGAUUACUGUAAUCUUGCACUUUAGGUAGUUGCUGCUUUUUGUGUCAACAUUAUUUCAAACCUCUGAAUUUUUUUUUUUUUCUUUUUGUUCAAAAUCAAACUAUUUUGCUGUACAAAUACAAACGCUUCUAUUGCAUACAACACUGACUUUUUUUUAGAUCAUUAUGUCAGCAAGAGUGCCUCUCUGCUAUUAAACCUCAGUUUCCACACCACAUAUUCAAAAGGUUGGAGAGUUGGCAAGCACAAAAUAAUCCCACACAGCUGUGGACAGUGUCAUUAAAGCAGUAAGUGCUGAUUCAGAGCAUGAGCGCAACCUGAAAUUGAAUGUAAUGAAAAUAAUAGGUGUCUUCUGGUUCUCAGCUUGCAGACUGGUCAGAUUUACUGAAUCACAAGCUGUCCACUCAGUCAUAGCUUCAUAGCAGUCAUAUGCCAGACUUGGCCCAUUGUGAGAAAUAAAGUUAUUUUAGGUAUUUCUUGGCCAGUGUUAAGUUUUUUUUUGUUUGUUUGUUGUUUUGUUUUUUUGUGCUGCAGCAUCUCUUCCUCCUUGCGCUCUGCUAAAUGAAACAUGUAGACUUUAACCUUUUUUUCCUGAUAAUGACAAAGAGCAGUGCUGAGCUUGCUUUUAUUAUAUUGUUCUCAUUUUUUAUAAUUAUCCAUGUAGUCCUAGCUGAAUGUAACCACUAGGCAUUGCUUCUCUAGUUAUGUAAACUUGCACUGCAUGUCUAGAAAUUUGAAGAAAAUUAUGGGCUAAAUGUGUGAAUAAUUGCAUUUUUCUGUUUAAAUGGACUGGAAAUGUUGAGUAGUAGUUAGUUAUAUAGUAGAUGAGUCAUUGUUUGCAAAACAUCAAAGAAAAUCAAAGUUUUGUUAAUGUUUCAUUAUGCUCUCAGUAAAUCAACAAAAUAUUGA